AUUGAACGCUGGCGGCAUGCCUUACACAUGCAAGUCGAACGGCAGCACGGGUUCUUGCACCUGGUGGCGAGUGGCGAACGGGUGAGUAAUACAUCGGAAGAUGUCCUGUAGCGGGGGAUAGCCCGGCGAAAGCCGGAUUAAUACCGCAUACGAUCUACGGAUGAAAGCGGGGGACCUUCGGUCCUCGCGCUUUAGGGUUGGCCGAUGGCUGUUUAGAUAGUUGGUGGGGUAAAGGCCUACCAAGGCGACGAACAGUAGCUGGUCUGAGAGGACGACCAGCCACACUGGGACUGAGACACGGCCCAGACUCCUACGGGAGGCAGCAGUGGGGAAUUUUGGACAAUGGGAGAAAGCCUGAUCCAGCAAUGCCGCGUGUGUGAAGAAGGCCUUCGGGUUGUAAAGCACUUUUGUCCGGAAAGAAAUCCUUGGCCCUAAUACGGUCGGGGGAUGACGGUACCGGAAGAAUAAGCACCGGCUAACUACGUG
rnacentral:rRNA from 1 species